GAUGAAGAACGUAGCGAAAUGCGAUAAGUAGUGUGAAUUGCAGAAUUCAGUGAAUCAUCGAAUCUUUGAACGCACAUUGCGCCCCUUGGUAUUCCAUGGGGCAUGCCUGUUCGAGCGUCAUUUCACCACUCAAGCCUGGCUUGGUGUUGGGCGACGUCCUCUUUGGGGACGCGCCUCGAAACGCUCGGCGGCGUGGCACCGGCUUUAAGCGUAGCAGAAUCUUUCGCUUUGGAAGUCGGGGCCCCGUCUGCCGGAAGACCUGCUCGCAAGGUUGACCUCGGAUCAGGCAGGGAUACCCGCUGAACUUAAGCAUAUCAAUAAGCGGAGGA
rnacentral:misc_RNA from 1 species